CACAGGUGGCUAACUUACCACUGAACACCUGUGUUAGUUGCUGCCGCAGCUGUCCUCAUUAUUAGAAUGACCUUCUCAACCUGUAUUUCUCUGCUGUGUAUUUUAGCUUUUAAAAAAGUUAUUUUACUUUAAGGUUAACUGAAACCCGUUCAGCUGCACUGAAGUUUAACAAUCAGCUGCUUUGAAUUAAACCACGCUUAACUUAACAUUGUGCAACAUUACCUCUCUGAAUCUCCAUAAUUUCAUUAAAUUCCUUCUCUCUUCCACUGCUCAAGUUCAAUCCAGUAUAUAAAGUGACAUUAAUAGUGAAUAAACUAACAACCAGCCAUUGUAUUUACUUAUUAUUGCAUGUAUUUGUAGUAAAACAUGAGAGGAAACAUCCUACUUUUGGAUCUAGAACUGCACAAGCCGUUCAUUUUCAGUCACCUGAUGAGUUAAACUCCCCUUUUUAUGUGAGGUUGAAGCAGAAAGUCUGAGUUAACAAAGAAAGUUGUUUAUAAUUUGCGAUACCUGUUAUCUCUGACUGAGGCUUUAGUUUUUGUUGAGCCGAUUUACACGUAGAAACUUUGUUCAGGAAGAUUUGUCAGUAGUUCAGAGGACAGGCUGCUUUUUACACAACCUUGUAAGAGAAUGUCUGUCAAUGCUUUCAGCAGAAUUUAGAAACACAACACUUCCUAAACAGAUAUUUUGAGGCUGUGAGGUUGAACGUUUGAGAGUAUAUCAGUGUGUUUGUUUGUGGUCUUUCUGUUUCUAGGUGGAAGCUGAAUUAGUGAGGAUGACUCCUGCUCCUGUCAUCUCUAAGCUCCUCCCACAUCUUUACCUGCACAUGAGGAAAAUCACUCCUGUAGAAUGCAGAUGUUCAGAGGGAGAUGAUGCCACAUCUGGUCCAGCUGAUGGAAGGUCUUGAAGUUCUCUGACUGGCCUCGACUGAAGAUGGUCGUCUCACUGGAUUUAAGGUUCAGAUGCUCAGUAACAAACUCCACCAAUGAGCCAACAGGGAAGUUUUAGGUUUAUUAAAUGUUGCUAUGAAGGUAUCACUGUUUUUCUUUGUGAAUGCAAUGUGCUCCAACUGAAAGUUGAAUUAGAACUUAGAAGUAAAUCCUUCCAUCUGAAAGGAUUUAGUUGCAUUAAUAACCUCAUAACAUUCUAAUUUUUAUUCCAGUCUUGGUUGGAAAUAGAAUCUCUGUAUUGAUUCAGGUAAAAACUGAACUUCACAGCAUGUUGGAGCAAAACAACCAGAUGAAAACUGUGAUGGUGUUGGAUUGUCAGACCGUAAUGUUGCAGCUCAAAGCAGCUUUUCUAGCUCAGUUCAUUCUGACAUUCAGCUAUGAAUCAACACAGCAGAUGGUGAUCCAUGCUGUGGAAAUCUCACAUCUCCUGAUUUAAUGGAGCUGCUUUGCACUUUUUACACUGUUUAUUCACCAACUCUUUAUUUAAUAAAAGUCCUAUCUAGUUUUUAUGAGGAAUGUGAUGCUUUAAUUUCUCUGUGAAUAACUGCAGUCUAAUGGAACAGCUGGAGUUGUAACAUCUGUCCUGAUAUUGAUCAUGAAGUAUUGAUCAGAAUACUUAUGGUCAGCAGUCAUCCCUGAAGUUUUACAUUAAAAUCUUUACUUGUGUUGUGAACUUUGGUAAGAAGCAGAAACUUUAGCGUUGCCAUGGAUACAUGAGUGUUAAAUUCUGUCCAUGUUUCCAUUUUGGGAAAUGCAGUCCAGGAGAUGAGUUUGUUUUUACUGCCAGCUACAUUCAGUCUGAGAUAUUAAGAAUAAAUAAAUGUGCAUAAUGUUGAAAUGAAAAGAUUUCAUUUUUAUUUAUUCCUACAGCUGGUGCUGGUAAAGUUCCAGAAUGUGGAGGAAUUUAGUCUCACAAUCACAGACAAUAAAUAUUAUCUGAAAGUCUGGUGAUUGUUGUUUAUCAGCACAAUACAAAAAGAUUCAUGUUAGACAUAUUCCAGUUAAGACUCUAGAAUAUCAUGAUUUAUGUAAAUUUACCUCAAUAAUAUGAAUGUUCAGGUUAAGAUUGUGCAGUGAUAUUUAUUAUGUAAGUUUAGCUGAUUAAAGUUUAUGACUCUGCACUACAAUAUUAUUUAUUAUUAAAAUUAACAUCAUUAUUAUAAUAUUUAGGGUCAGACCCUACAGUAUUGAGAUUAAGAAAUCGUUCUAUAAAUUUUCUAUAAAAUGUAAGUACACUGAACUCAUUUGGAUAUAUUCGAGACUCUACAAUAUUAUUUGACACAAAUCUAUCUAAAUCCAAAUUUUAAUCAUUUUUACUCCAAACAUGUACUAGACUGAUUUAAAUAUUAAAAUCACUCCUUUCUAAUCCUCUGCUGUACGUUCAAACCUGAUGCCUUAAAUAGAAACAAGUAUCUGAUUGAAGGAACUUCUGCAGAGUCCUGGUUCCAGAACAUGAUGAUAGAAUUAUAGACAAACUUUAACAAAAGCUGCCUGAGAGUUUACAGGUUUUUAUGUUAGAUUUCUUCAGUAAUUUAAUGAGUUAUCAGCAAAAAUCAAGUGUUCAUUUGAUGAACUUCAUUUCCUUAAACAUCCAGAAUUGGAGCUCAUAUCUUUGGCAGCUGUAAAGUUUCUGCUCCUUCAAAGUUCACAACACAAUGAAUGAAUUCCUAAAACACUCUCAAUGCUGGAGAGCGUUUGAUGCUGAAGCAGUGAUCAGUUUUUCUGUUUCUUCUCUGGAGAUGCACAAUGAGGGAUGUCUGCAGAGACUGAGAAAGAGUCUCACCACAUCCUGACAUGAGGAAAAAGACUUUACUGAAGACUACAAUGAGAAAAACUAUCAGACAGCAGACGGCUGCAUUCAAGGUGAGCUCUGAACAUUUGAUCUGGAACAGGAAUUCAAUCACGGCAGCAUGAGCUUCAUUUCAGUCUGUAGCUGCUGAAUUCAUGGAUGAAUCAUCUGGCACUAGAGAGGAAGACCAUCAAACAUCCACGUCAGCUGAUGGAGGUCCAAGAGUCUCACCCAACAAACAACCUACAGAGUGAAGACCUCCAAUCUGAUUGGACGGCCUCCUAUUCAGCCACGUGUGAACAAAUGCCUCUAAGCUGAUUUGUUUUCUAAAAUAAAUCUAGUUUGAGUCCUAA